UGGGGAAUUUUGGACAAUGGGCGAAAGCCUGAUCCAGCCAUGCCGCGUGAGUGAAGAAGGCCUUCGGGUUGUAAAGCUCUUUUAGUCGGGAAGAAAGAGUUGCAAUGAAUAAUUGUGAUUUAUGACGGUACCGACAGAAAAAGCACCGGCUAACUACGUGCCAGCAGCCGCGGUAAUACGUAGGGUGCGAGCGUUAAUCGGAAUUACUGGGCGUAAAGGGUGCGCAGGCGGUCUUGCAAGUCAGAUGUGAAAGCCCCGGGCUUAACCUGGGAAUUGCGUUUGAAACUACAAGACUAGAGUGCAGCAGAGGGGAGUGGAAUUCCAUGUGUAGCAGUGAAAUGCGUAGAGAUGUGGAAGAACACCGAUGGCGAAGGCAGCUCCCUGGGUUGACACUGACGCUCAUGCACGAAAGCGUGGGGAGCAAACA
rnacentral:rRNA from 1 species